UACGGAGGAUCCGAGCGUUAUCCGGAUUUAUUGGGUUUAAAGGGUGCGCAGGCGGGAGAUUAAGUCGGCGGUGAAAUCUUGCAGCUCAACUGUAAAAGUGCCUUCGAAACUGGUUUCCUUGAGUGUAGAUGAAGUAGGCGGAAUUUGUGGUGUAGCGGUGAAAUGCAUAGAUAUCACGAGGAACUCCGAUUGCGCAGGCAGCUUACUAAACUACUACUGACGCUCAGGCACGAAGGCGUGGGGAGUCAAACAGGAUUAGAUACCCGU
rnacentral:rRNA from 1 species